AUCUUCAUUUAUACAAUAGAAUGUAGCAUAAACGAAGCGAUAUUACGCGUAAGAGUCAUCCCAAUCCUCGAUCCUCAGAAAUGGAAACAUCUAGAGAUACAACCUAAAAGCAAAAACGACUAAAACGAUCUAAAGCAGAGGAGGCGAGCGAGUUCUGAAUCUCGCUCACCUGACCUCGUCAUCUUUCCGUCAGCUCACUGACCCUUAGCCGCAACUAAUAACUCCGCUUUUUCUUCAACCACGAACUACAAACUAAUCUACGGCACAC
rnacentral:misc_RNA from 1 species